rnacentral:rRNA from 1 species
CCUACGGGACGCAGCAGUGGGGAAUAUUGCACAAUGGGGGAAACCCUGAUGCAGCGACGCCGCGUGAGCGAUGAAGUAUUUCGGUAUGUAAAGCUCUAUCAGCAGGGAAGAAAAUGACGGUACCUGACUAAGAAGCCCUGGCUAACUACGUGCCAGCAGCCGCGGUAAUACGUAGGAUCCGAGCGUUAUCCGGAUUCAUUGGGUUUAAAGGGUGCGUAGGUUGUUUUAUAAGUUAGCGGUGAAAUACCGAUGCUCAACAUCGGGGCUGCCGCUAAUACUGUAGGACUAGAGAUCGGAUGCAGCAG